rnacentral:lncRNA from 1 species
CGUACUAUACAAUUCUUUUCUUUGUGGGAUCUUUUUCCCACGAGAGGUAAUGAAAAGAAUUCUAGAAUGGAUUGCUACCUAUGCCUAGAUCACGGAUAAAUGGAAAUUUUAUUGAUAAGACCUUUUCAAUUGUAGCCGAUAUCUUAUUACGAGUAAUUCCGACAACUUCCGGAGAAAAAGAGGCAUUUACCUAUUACAGAGAUGGUGCGAUUUGAUUCUUUUUUUUUUGAUUUUAUAUUUAUUCAUUUCUCUCAGUCUUACGAGGAGAAAAAUACAUGAUUCGAGAAAAAAAAUCUACGCUUUUUGAAGGUGAAGUUUGGAAAUAGAACAAUUCCUUCUGUCGUGUAUCCUCGAUUAAUGCAACCUCAGAUGCUAUGUUUCAAUUAUAGAUUCUAGUAUUAAGCGAAAGGUUACGCCUAGAGGUUCUGUAUUACGGGUCAAUCCUACUCUACUAGCGCUAAUAGGCAGCAUAGGGGAAGAAGCGCUACACCUAGGAAUCAACAACACGAAAACUUUGUUCUAAGUCAGCCCUUUUCUUAGCGGGCUUGGGACUAAAAGAAUGGUUGGGACAACAAACAUCCAUCUCGUUCGUCCUUUGGAUACCCGUAUAACCAUCAAAGGAUAUUGAAGUGACUAAUUCCUGGAAAUUAGGAGGCGUUAAAAACAAAAAAAUUGUGGGAGUUAUCUUAUCAUUUCUAUCUAGUCCCAAUAGGCUUGAUGUUAAGAAAGAAUCUCUUGCAGGAAGGUUGGCUAGAGAUUUCUUGUAAAAACACUAGCCCUGCUGAGUUCAUAAUGAGAAUAUUUUCAUCGUUGAAUCUUUUUUGAUUCUAUGUAUUAUUCUCAUUAUGCACAUAAGGGAGGAGCCGUAUGAGGUGAAAAUCUCACGUACGGUUCUGGAAUGGAGAUUCUUUCAAUUGAAUGACGACCGUAACGGAUGUCGGCUCAAUCCGAAGGAAAUUAUGCGGAAGCUUUGCAGAAUUAUUAUGAAGCUAUGCGACUAGAAAUUGAUCCCUAUGAUCGAAGUUAUAUACUCUAUAAUAUAGGGCUUAUCCACACAAGUAAUGGAGAACAUACGAAAGCUUUGGAAUAUUAUUUUCGAGCACUAGAACGAAACCCAUUCUUACAACAAGAUUUUAAUAAUAUGGCCGUGAUGUGUCAUUACGUGCGACUAUCUCCACUAUAGAAAGAAAAAAAGAAAAAUCUAGUAAAGUAACUACUAGAACCAAAUAGGCUUUCUACAUAUGCAUCGUCUAAAACAACGAUUUUUAUCAGCUGUAGCAAAGAACGAAACUUCAUAGAAGUCAAAAUAGGAAAAAAUAAAAAUGCCUAGCAACUUUUUUCUAUGGAUAUAAAGCUUUAAUUGAGAGAGAUAGAGAAAGCACCGUAAAGAUCAAUUAGCGAGGUUUUGGGCCGAUACAAUAAUAACUGCGUACUUAUCUCAUGAUGUGAGAUAAAAAUUAGGAAUUAACUUAUCUAAUAGAGUCGAUCCACUAAAGUCUUGAGCAGCGGUGUAGGAUCAGAUCCCAAAGAUAGUAAGUAUUUUCUUUCUUAUGAAAGAAAGUCUU